rnacentral:lncRNA from 1 species
CGAGUGGAGGAAUCCUAGGGUGUGCCUGGAGGUGGCGGAGUCUACCAGCGCGGGUGGAAGCGCGUGUGCCGGCGAGGGUGGGCACGGGGGUGAGCGUGGCAAGGUGAGCUCGGCUUGGGGUGGGGGCGGAGCACGGAGUGGGCACGAGUGUGAGCUCGGGGGCGUGUAUGCUGGGGACCCGGGGAGAGGCGGCACGGAGCCCCGAUGUGUGCGCGCGCGUGGUGGGGGGGGGGCGUGUGGAGCUAGCCGGGUGUCUCUUUCUCACCGACUGUCCACGCGACACCAGCACUUGCUCACGGCCGAGCCCCGCCACCUGGCGAGGUGGAGCCAGCCACCGCGCAAGCUUCCCGGCUCGCCGCGACUCAGCUCCGAGUGCCGUGUGCCUGGGCUGGAGAUCCCAAGGGGGACUCAUACUGCCCUUAUCCCACGUAAGAGCCGCUCUCCUCCCAGGGCGCGAGGGGCACGACCCGAAGGUAGGAUUUCGCCUUCUUGUCCUGCCACGUGUUCCUAGCACCCAGAUCCGAGAGUCUGGACUUGGGAGGAUGAACUCUGCCUGCGUCAGCCGGAUCCCUGGGUCCCUCCCCAAAGCCCACGGAUCCCCAUUGCCCUGUGCCUCGACCCAGGAUGGGGAGCAGGAGGUCGGCACGUGCCCACAGGGCCCGGCGGAUGGAGCCUGGAGCAUCCCGGAGUGUGGUAUCCGGCCCAGCCUCCCCCACACUCCCGGCCGCGGCGCGCGGAACGUUCAGUCCCCGCAGACCCAGACCGUGCCGACCCGCGGCUCCAGCUUUCCCCUGGUCUGCGGCCCCGGUGCCCGGAAUCCCGGGAUCUCAGCCCGCCACUCGAGAAGCCAGACGACUCCGUGCCUCAGCAAGACCGGAACACAGGGCUUGAGAGAUCACAGUU